UACGUAGGGGGCUAGCGUUGUCCGGAUUUAUUGGGCGUAAAGAGCGUGUAGGCGGCCAGGUAGGUCUGGUGUGAAAACUCGAGGCUUAACCUUGAGAUGUCAUCGGAAACCAUUUGGCUAGAGUCCGGAAGAGGAAAGUGGAAUUCCUGGUGUAGCGGUGAAAUGCGUAGAUAUCAGGAGGAACACCGGUGGUGUAGACGGCUAUCUGGACCGUAACUGACGCUGAGGCACGAAAGCGUGGGUAGCAAACAGG
rnacentral:rRNA from 1 species